rnacentral:misc_RNA from 1 species
UGUCUCUUGAGAUUUAUUGAUUAUAAAAAUAGUGUUGCUUGUAACUUAUAUGCCAUAUUUGCCUCCUAUUUUAUUGUGGAUUGGAAAAAAAAAGUUUUGAAAUCAUGUGCUGUGCCCUUCCUUGUUGCUGUUCUAAUUUUUAAUAUUUGACAAGAAAGUUAUCUUGGGAUUCAGAUUUGUUGGGUCCAUUAGUCUUGUAUGUUAAAUAUUAAGUGUGCCAUCAAGGUUACUGCUAAUGAUGAUAUGCUAACUGCCAAAUGGUUCUGCUUUGAAAAUAUGUUAAACUGAG